GAUGAACGCUGGCGGCGUGCCUAAUACAUGCAAGUCGAGCGAACGGACGAGAAGCUUGCUUCUCUGAUGUUAGCGGCGGACGGGUGAGUAACACGUGGAUAACCUACCUAUAAGACUGGGAUAACUUCGGGAAACCGGAGCUAAUACCGGAUAAUAUUUUGAACCGCAUGGUUCAAAAGUGAAAGACGGUCUUGCUGUCACUUAUAGAUGGAUCCGCGCUGCAUUAGCUAGUUGGUAAGGUAACGGCUUACCAAGGCAACGAUGCAUAGCCGACCUGAGAGGGGGAACGGCCCCACUGGAACUGAGACACGGUCCAGACUCCUACGGGAGGCAGCAGUAGGGAAUCUUCCGCAAUGGGAGAAAGCCUGACGGAGCAACGCCGCGUGAGUGAUGAAGGUCUUCGGAUCGUAAAACUCUGUUAUUAGGGAAGAACAUAUGUGUAAGUAACUGUGCACAUCUUGACGGUACCUAAUCAGAAAGCCACAGCUAACUACGUG
rnacentral:rRNA from 1 species